CAAUCAGGAAUGAAUUAACAUAUGAAAUGAUUAAUUCCUUUUUUUCACAUAAUUUUAUAGAAAAAAGGGAGAAGUUAAUGAUGUGCGUUUUCUAGUUGUGGUCAAUGAAAGAUGGGCGUUGUAUAAUGACUUCGACAUCGUUUUAGGUGUGAACAUCCUCUGUCAUAACCGUUUGAUGGUGGUGGGAGGCAAUUACCGCCUCCUAGUUUGCAUGGAACUUGAAGAUUUUUUCCCAGUCCCGGGUAGCUGAUUGGUGUCGCGUUUGCACCCUCUUCCAUCACCAUUGAGCUUAUUACCAAUGAACAAAUCCACAACACCAUGAUCUUCUUCUCCACUCCCAUUUUGUUCCAAGAAAUAUACAAUUAUUUAUUUAAUUAGAACUUUACACUAUCUUUCAAUCAAAAGUUUGGGUUUUUUAUCGCUUCAUGGUACUUGUAUAUUUAGUAAAAUGUUUAACCAUAAAUACAAGAUUUAAGCAUUUUUUAAGACAGUUUUAGUGAAUAAGAUGAUGAGUUCAUAACAGAAUUCCCUAGUCUCUUUCAACGCUAUUCAUCCUUUCCAAAAUUAUACAUGCAAUACUAGAUAAAAAAAUGACAUGUUAAAUGUCAGUUUUCUUUAUCAACUACCAAUUUGAGUAAUAUUUUUCAAUGAAAAUAUAAGGAAAUCUCCUCCCUUUCUUUUUCAACAAACUAUUACUAUCCCGUACAACUUUAAAAUCAGUUAUUUGACUAAUGGUAAAUGUACAAUUUUAUUUGAAAUAAUAAGUUAUUCACAUUUUCGUUGUUCUUAUUUCCUAAAGCAUGUGGUAAUCUGAUUGUGUCCGGAUUAAAUUUGGGUUAUAGUUUUAGGAGCUUACUAUUAUUAUUUUGUUUAUGCUAACUUUAGUUUUUAUUAUUUCUUCUAUUUUGUUUAUUAUUAGAAAUUCUAUCGUAUGCGUAUACUUGUGGAAAUUACAUAUUUACAAUAUGAAUGUUUUUAAAACUAACAAACAAUAAAUAAUGAAAUGUAUGGUUCAAAACUAAAAAUAAUAACAAACUUUAUGAGAGAAAACAUUUUGUGCUACAAAUCAAUUUUUUAGAAGUUUACUCAAGAAAUAUUAUUGAUGUAGUGGUAAAGAAUUUGUUUGUAGAUCCAUUAAACACAAGUACCAAUCCCCAAACAUGGUAAAUUUAGUUCUUUUAACUAAAAACUAUAUAAAUGUAUGAAAAUACAAAAAAGGCAUCAGAAUGAUAAUAAUAGUCAUUUAACUAAAUUGUUUAUAAGUAAUUCCCUAAGUUGUGACAGACCACAGCCCAACGUGUUGAUGUGUUGGCUAAAAACCACGCAAAUAAAAUAUGUAGAGUUAAGUGCGGUUUCUGCAGGUGAACAUGUCAACCUGCAAUAUAGUUUUCUUUACAAUUAAACACUUAUAAAGUAUUUCGAGGAUCGUAUCCAAGGGAUUAUUGAUUAAAGAAAAUGGCUAUUAAAUUAAUUACAGAAAUUAAGUACUAAUCUAGUCGAGUUAUAAAUUAGUAGUAUAAAUCCAAAACAAUAAUAAAAUUAACUAAUUAUUUUAACCGAAAACUAAAAGUAACCCUAAGUUAAUUAUUUGUUUCUCCUAUUCCUAGUUUCGACAACGUGAUCCUUCACAGCCAAGAAUCAAUUUUAACCCUAAUUAUUAAUUAAGUAGACAAGGACCUUUAAUUAAGUAUGUACUAACCUUAGCUAAGAAUACCUUCCCGGUUUCAUCUUCAUUAAGAAUUACAACCUAAGAUUCCUUUUUGGUCUUACCUAAGCAUACGGAUACCCUUUUGUUCUCACUGCUUGGUACAAGUUCUACUCAAUUGGAUACCCUCUCAGUCUCACUUGUCUAGAUCUUCUACUAUAGGUGUCACUUCCUAGUAUAUUAAGUACUUUCGAAUAAAAACUCAAUUUUAGGUUACUAUUUAUUUAAUCAAUUAAUUAAUGAAAUAAUCAAGUCAUUCAAAAUAAGUAUGGAGCCCAAAAUACAUUCCAAUAAUUAUAUAUACAUUCUAUUAAUAAAACUAUCAAAUGCAAUAUAAAUGAAAGAAUAAAGGGACGAGAAUGCUCGUUAAUUAAUCAUUGAAAUGGCACUAUUUCAAAACAUCAUUUGCUCGCGAUCGACUAACUUUGAGAGACAAGCAUGUAUUGGUCCAUCAAUUAAUUAGUUAGAGGCUAAGAGGUAAUAGCUGGUAAUUAAUAGCUAACUUGAUAAAACCUGAGUUCUGAAGUUAAUUAGGAACACUGAAAUGAAUUAAUCUUAUGCCUGCUUAAUUGAAUUUAAUUUAGAUUGUUAAAAUUGAUUGUCUUUAAUUUUUGUUAAUUUAUGUUUUUUUGAUUGAUUGCCUUUGAUUUAGUUUUUGGUAAUAUAAUAUUAGAUUACUACUAUUUAGCCUGGUUAGUGUAGCAUAUUAGUCUUGGUUCAAUUCAACCUCCCUUGGGUACGAUCCUCGGAAUAGAUCCCGAAGUGUUUCCUUGUAACAUUAUUCUAUAUUACAAUUUAACUCGUAUACUUGUUGACACACUACAUUAUUAAUUGGCUCUUUAGCUGUUGUAUUUGAAACCCAGACGUUCGCAACUCUGGUGGCAGUCAUUUGGCCAAAUGUUGACAGUUGGACAUGAAGAGUUUAAGAUGUACCCAUCAGUUGCAGGCUCCUUCGUGCGACCCAUGAAACUAGGGCAUGGGAACACCUAUAUCCAACAAACUCAUUGAAGUUAAUAAGACCUCCAUUGUUCGCACCGCUUUACUUAAAACUAUUUCUAUGUCACUUUUUCAUGAACGUAAGACAACUUAUAUGAAUUAGAAAAAAUAUUAAUAAGACCUUUGCUCAAAUUUUUAAAAAAAUAGUUGAAGUAUAUAUUUCCGGAAUUCAUGGCUUACAACAAUCAGGAAUGAAUUAACAUAUGAAAUGAUUAAUUCCUUUUUUUCACAUAAUUUUAUAGAAAAAAGGGAGAAGUUAAUGAUGUGCAUUUUCUAGUUGUGGUCAAUGAAAGAUGGGCGUUGUAUAAUGACUUCGACAUCGUUUUAGGUGAGAACAUCCUCUGUCAUAACCGUUUGAUGGUGGUGGGAGGCAAUUACCGCCUCCUAGUUUGCAUGGAACUUGAAGAUUUUUUCCCAGUCCCGGGUAGCUAAUUGGUGUCGCGUUUGCACCCUCUUCCAUCACCAUUGAGCUUAUUACCAAUGAACAAAUCCACAACACCAUGAUCUUCUUCUCCACUCCCAUUUUGUUCCAAGAAAUAUACAAUUAUUUAUUUAAUUAGAACUUUACACUAUCUUUCAAUCAAAAGUUUGGGUUUUUUAUCGCUUCAUGGUACUUGUAUAUUUAGUAAAAUGUUUAACCAUAAAUACAAGAUUUAAGCAUUUUUUAAGACAUUUUUAGUAAAUAAGAUGAUGAGUUCAUAACAGAAUUCCCUAGUCUCUUUCAACGCUAUUCAUCCUUUCCAAAAUUAUACAUGCAAUACUAGAUAAAAAAAUGACAUGUUAAAUGUCAGUUUUCUUUAUCAACUACCAAUUUGAGUAAUAUUUUUCAAUGAAAAUAUAAGGAAAUCUCCUCCCUUUCUUUUUCUACAAACUAUUACUAUCCCGUACAACAUUAAAAUCAGUUAUUUGACUAAAGGUAAAUGUACAAUUUUAUUUGAAAUAAUAAGUUAUCCACAUUUUCGUUGUUCUAAUUUCCUAAAGCAUGUGGUAAUCCGAUUGUGUCCGAUUGUGUCCGGGUUAAAUUUGGGUUAUAGUUUUAGGAGCUUACUAUUAUUAUUUUGUUUAUGCUAACUUUAGUUUUUAUUAUUUCUUCUAUUUUGUUUAUUAUUAUAAAUUCUAUCGUAUGCGUAUACUUGUGGAAAUUACAUAUUUACAAUAUGAAUGUUUUUAAAACUAACAAACAAUAAAUAAUGAAAUGUAUGGUUCAAAACUAAAAAUAAUAACAAACUUUAUGAGAGAAAACAUUUUGUGUUAAAAAUCAAUUUUUUUGAAGUUUACUCAAGAAAUAUUAUUGAUGUAGUGGUAAAGAAUUUAUCUGUAGAUCCAUUAAACACAAGUACCAAUCCCCAAACAUGGUAAAUUUAUUUCUUUUAACUAAAAACUAUAUAAAUGUAUGAAAAUACGAAAAAGGCAUCAGAAUGAUAAUAAUAGUCAUUUAACUAAAUGGUUUAUAAGUAAUUCCCUAAGUUGUGACAGACCACAGCCCAACGUGUGGAUGUGUUGGCUAAAAACCACGCAAAUAAAAUAUGUAGAGUUAAGUGCGGUUUCUGCAGGUGAACAUGUCAACUUGCAAUAUAGUUUUCUUUACAAUGAAACACUUAUAAAGUAUUUCGAGGAUCGUACCCAAGGGAUUAUUGAUUAAAGAAAAUGGCUAUUAAAUUAAUUACAGAAAUUAAGUACUAAUCUAGUCGAGUUAUAAAUUAGUCGUAUAAAUCCAAAACAAUAAUAAAAUUAACUAAUUAUUUUAACCGAAAACUAAAAGUAACCCUAAGUUAAUUAUUUCUUUCUCCUAUUCCUAGUUUCGACAACGUGAGCCUUCUCAGCCAAGAAUCAAUUUUAACCCUAAUUAUUAAUUAAGUAGACAAGGACCUUUAAUUAAGUAUGUACUAACCUUAGCUAAGAAUACCUUCCCGGUUUCAUCUUCAUUAAGAAUUACAACCUAAGAUUCCUUUUUGGUCUUACCUAAGCAUACGGAUACCCUUUUGUUCUCACUGCUUGGUACAAGUUCUACUCAAUAGGAUACCCUCUCAGUCUCACUUGUCUAGAUCAUCUACUAUAGGUGUCACUUCCUAGUAUAUUAAGUACUUUCGAAUAAAAACUAAAUUUUAGGCUACUAUUUAUUUAAUCAAUUAAUUACUGAAAUAAUCAAGUCAUUCAAAAUAAGUAUGAAGCCCAAAAUACAUUCCAAUAAUUAUAUAAACAUUCUAUUAAUAAAACUAUCAAAUACAAUAUAAAUGAAAGAAUAAAGGGACGAGAAUGCUCGUUAAUUAAUCAUUGAAAUGGCAAUAUUUCAAAACAUCCUUUGCUCGCGAUCGACUAACUUUGAGAGAGAAGCAUGUAUUGGCCCAUCAAUUAAUUAGUUAGAGGCUAAGAGGUAAUAGCUGGUAAUUAAUAGCUAACUUGAUAAAACCUGAGUUCUGAAGUUAAUUAGGAACACUGAAAUGAAUUAAUCUUAUGCCUGCUUAAUUUAAUUUAACUUCGAUUGUUAAAAUUGAUUGUCUUUAAUUUUUGUUAAUUUAUGUUUUUUUGAUUGAUUGCCUUUGAUUUAGUUUUUGGUAAUAUAAUAUUAGAUUACUACUAUUUAGCCUGGUUAGUGUAGAAUAUUAGUCUUGGUUCAAUUCAACCUCCUUUGGGUACGAUCCUCGGAAUAGAUCCCGAAGUGUUUCCUUGUAACAUUAUUCUAUAUUACAAUUUAACUCGUAUACUUGUUGACACACUACAUUAUUAAUUGGCUCUUUAGCUACGGUAUUUUCAACCCAGACAUUCGCACAUCUGGUGGCAGUCAUUUGGCCAAAUGUUGACAAUUGGACAUGAAGAGUUUAAGAUGUACACAUCAGUUGCAGGCUCCUUCGUGCGACCCAUGAAACUAGGGCAUGGGAACACCUAUAUCCAACAAACUCAUUGAAGUUAAUAAGACCUUCAUUGUUCACACCGCUUUACUUAAAACUAUUUCAAUGUCACUUUUUUAAGAACGUAAGACAACUUAUAUGAAUUAGAGAAAAUAUUAAUAAGACCUUUGCUCAAAUUUUUAAAAAAAUAGUUGAAGUAUAUAUUUCCGAAAUUCAUGGCUUACAACAAUCAGGAAUGAAUUAACUUAUGAAAUGAUUAAUUCCUUUUUUUUCUCAUAAUUUUAUAGAAAAAAGGGAGAAGUUAAUGAUGUGCGUUUUCUAGUUGUGGUCAAUGAAAGAUGGGCGUUGUAUAAUGACUUCGACAUCGUUUUAGGUGUGAACAUCCUCUGUCAUAACUGUUUGAUGGUGGUGGGAGGCAAUUACCGCCUCCUAGUUUGCAUGGAACUUGAAGAUUUUUUCCCAGUCCCGGGUAGCUGAUUGGUGUCGCGUUUGCACCCUCUUCCAUCACCAUUGAGCUUAUUACCAAUGAACAAAUCCACAACACCAUGAUCUUCUUCUCCACUCCCAUUUUGUUCCAAGAAAUAUACAAUUAUUUAUUUAAUUAGAACUUUACACUAUCUUUCAAUCAAAAGUUUGGGUUUUUUAUCGCUUCAUGGUACUUGUAUAUUUAGUAAAAUGUUUAACCAUAAAUACAAGAUUUAAGCAUUUUUUAAGACAGUUUUAGUAAAUAAGAUGAUGAGUUCAUAACAGAAUUCCCUAGUCUCUUUCAACGCUAUUCAUCCUUUCCAAAAUUAUACAUGCAAUACUAGAUAAAAAAUGACUUGUUAAAUGUCAGUUUUCUUUAUAAACUACCAAUUUGAAUAAUAUUUUUCAAUGAAAAUAUAAGGAAAUCUCCUCCCUUUCUUUUUCUACAAACUAUUACUAUCCCGUACAACUUUAAAAUCAUUUAUUUGACUAAUGGAAAAUCAACAAUUUUAUUUGAAAUAAUAAGUUAUCCACAUUUUCGUUGUUCUUAUUUCCUAAAGCAUGUGGUAAUCCGAUUGUGUCCGGGUGAAAUUUGGGUUAUAGUUUUAGGAGCUUACUAUUAUUAUUUUCUUUAUGCUAACUUUUGUUUUUAUUAUUUCUUCUAUUUUGUUUAUUAUUAGAAAUUCUAUCGUAUGCGUAUACUUGUGGAAAUUACAUAUUUACAAUAUGAAUGUUUUUAAAACUAACAAACAAUAAAUAAUGAAAUGUAUGGUUCAAAACUAAAAAUAAUAACAAACUUUGUGAGAGAAAACAUUUUGUGCUAAAAAUCAAUUUUUUAGAAGUUUACUCAAGAAAUAUUAUUGAUGUAGUGGUAAAGAAUUUGUUUGUAGAUCCAUUAAACACAAGUUCCAAUCCCCAAACAUGGUAAAUUUAGUUCUUUUAACUAAAAACUAUAUAAAUCUAUGAAAGUACAAAAAGGGCAUCAAAAUGAUAAUAAUAGUCAUCUAACUAAAUGGUUUAUUAGUAAUUCCCUAAGUUGUGACAGACCACAGCCCAACGUGUGAAUGUGUUGGCUAAAAAUCACGCAAAUAAAAUAUGUAGAGUUAACUGCGGUUUCUGCAGGUGAACAUGUCAACUUGCAAUAUUGUUUUCUUUGCAAUGAAACACUUAUAAAGUAUUUCGAGGAUCGUACCCAAGGGAUUAUUGAUUAAAGAAAAUGGCUAUUAAAUUAAUUACAGAAAUUAAGUACUAAUCUAGUCGAGUUACAAAUUAGUAGUAUAAAUCCAAAACAAUAAUAAAAUUAACUAAUUAUUUUAACCGAAAACUAAAUGUAACCGUAAAUUAAUUAUUUGUUUCUCCUAUUCCUAGUUUCGACAACGUGAGCCUUCUCAGCCAAGAAUCAAUUCUAACCCUAAUUAUUAAUUAAGUACACAAGAACCUUGAAUUAAGAAUGUACUAACCUUAGCGAAGAAUACCUUCCCGGUUUCAUCUUCAUUAAGAAUUACAACCUAAGAUUCCUUUUCGGUCUUACCUAAGCAUACGUAUACCCUUUUGUUCUCACAGCUUGGUACAAGUUCUACUCAAUAGGAUACCCUCUCAGUCUCACUUGUCUAGAUCUUCUACUAUAGGUGUCACUUCCUAGUAUAUUAAGUACUUUCGAAUAAAAACUCAAUUUUAGGUUACUAUUAAUUUAAUCAAUUAAUUAAUGAAAUAAUCAAGUCAUUCAAAAAAAGUAAGAAGCCCAAAAUACAUUCCAAUAAUUAUAUAAACAUUCUAUUAAUAAAACUAUCAAAUGCAAUAUAAAUGAAAGAAUAAAGGGACGAGAAUGCUCGUUAAUUAAUCAUUGAAAUGGCACUAUUUCAAAACAUCCUUUGCUCGCGAUCGACUAACUUUGAGAGACAAGCAUGUAUUGGUCCAUUAAUUAAUUAGUUAGAGGCUAAGAGGUAAUAGCUGGUAAUUAAUAGCUAACUUGAUAAAACCUGAGUUCUGAAGUUAAUUAGGAACACUGAAAUGAAUUAAUCUUAUGCCUGCUUAAUUGAAUUUAACUUCGAUUGUUAAAAUUGAUUGUCUUUAAUUUUUGUUAAUUUAUGUUUUUUUGAUUGAUUGCCUUUGAUUUAGUUUUUGGUAAUAUAAUAUUAGAUUACUACUAUUUAGCCUUGUUAGUGUAGAAUAUUAGUCUUGGUUCAAUUCAACCUCCCUUGGGUACGAUCCUCGGAAUAGAUCCUGAAGUGUUUCCUUGUAACAUUAUUCUAUAUUACAAUUUAACUCGUAUACUUGUUGACACACUACAUUAUUAAUUGGCUCUUUAGCUGCGGUAUUUUCAACCCAGACAUUCGCACAUCUGGUGGCAGUCAUUUGGCCAAAUGUUGACAAUUGGACAUGAAGAGUUUAAGAUGUACACAUCAGUUGCAGGCUCCUUUAUGCGACCCAUGAAACUAGGGCAUGGGAACACCUAUAUCCAACAAACUCAUUGAAGUUAAUAAGACCUCCAUUGUUCGCACCGCUUUACUUAAAACUAUUUCUAUGUCACUUUUUUAAGAAUGUAAGACAACUUAUAUGAAUUAGAGAAAAUAUUAAUAAGACCUUUGCUCAAAUUUUUAAAAAAAUAGUUGAAGUAUAUAUUUCCGGAAUUCAUGGCUUACAACAAUCAGGAAUGAAUUAACAGAUGAAAUGAUUAAUUCCUUUUUUUUCACAUAAUUUUAUAGAAAAAAGGGAGAAGUUAAUGCUGUGCAUUUUCUAGUUUUGGUCAAUGAAAGAUGGGCGCUGUAUAGUGACUUCGACAUCGUUUUUGGUGUGAACAUCCUCUGUCAUAACCGUUUGAUGGUUGUGGGAGGCAAUUACCGCCUCCUGGUUUGCAUGGAACUUGAAGAUUUUUUCCCAGUCCCGGGUAGCUGAUUGGUGUCGCGUUUGCACCCUCUUCCAUCACCAUUGAGCUUAUUUCCAAUGAACAAAUCCACACCACCAUGAUCUUCUUCUCCACUCCCAUUUUGUUCCAAGAAAUAUACAAUUAUUUAUUUAAUUAGAACUUUACACUAUCUUUCAAUCAAAAGUUUGGGUUUUUUAUCGCUUCGUGGUACUUGUAUAUUUAGUAAAAUGUUUAACCAUAAAUACAAGAUUUAAGCAUUUUUUGUGACAUUUUUAGUAAAUAAGAUGAUGAGUUCAUAGCAGAAUUCCCUAGUCUCUUUCAACGCUAUUCAUCCUUUCCAAAAUUAUACAUGCAAUACUAGAUAAAAAAAAUGACAUGUUAAAAGUUAGUUUUCUUUAUCAACUACCAAUUUGAGUAAUAUUUUUCAAUGAAAAUAUAAGGAAAUCUCCUCCCUUUCUUUUUCUACAAACUAUUACUAUCCCGUACAACAUUAAAAUCAGUUAUUUGACUAAAGGUAAAUGUACAAUUUUAUUUGAAAUAAUAAGUUAUCCACAUUUUCGUUGUUCUUAUUUCCUAAAGCAUGUGGUAAUCCGAUUGUGUCCGAUUGUGUCCGGGUUAAAUUUGGGUUAUAGUUUUAGGAGCUUACUAUUAUUAUUUUGUUUAUGCUAACUUUAGUUUUUAUUAUUUCUUCUAUUUUGUUUAUUAUUAGAAAUUCUAUCGUAUGCAUAUACUUGUGGAAAUUACAUAUUUACAAUAUGAAUGUUUUUAAAACUAACAAACAAUAAAUAAUGAAAUGUAUGGUUCAAAACUAAAAAUAAUAACAAACUUUGUGAGAGAAAACAUUUUGUGCUAAAAAUCAAUUUUUUAGAAGUUUACUCAAGAAAUAUUAUUGAUGUAGUGGUAAAGAAUUUGUUUGUAGAUCCAUUAAACACAAGUUCCAAUCCCCAAACAUGGUAAAUUUAGUUCUUUUAACUAAAAACUAUAUAAAUCUAUGAAAAUACAAAAAGGGCAUCAGAAUGAUAAUAAUAGACAUUUAACUAAAUGGUUUAUAAGUAAUUCCCUAAGUUGUGACAGACCACAGCCCAACGUGUGGAUGUGUUGGCUAAAAAUCACGCAAAUAAAAUAUGUAGAGUUAAGUGCGGUUUCUGCAGGUGAACAUGUCAACUUGCAAUAUUGUUUUGUUUGCAAUGAAACACUUAUAAAGUAUCUCGAGGAUCGUACCCAAGGGAUUAUUGAUUAAAGAAAAUGGCUAUUAAAUUAAUUACAGAAAUUAAGUACUAAUCUAGUCGAGUUACAAAUUAGUAGUAUAAAUCCAAAACAAUAAUAAAAUUAACUAAUUAUUUUAACCGAAAACUAAAUGUAACCGUAAAUUAAUUAUUUGUUUCUCCUAUUCCUAGUUUCGACAACGUGAGCCUUCCCAGCCAAGAAUCAAUUUUAACCCUAAUUAUUAAUUAAGUAGACAAGAACCUUUAAUUAAGUAUGUACUAACCUUAGCUAAGAAUUCCUUCUCGGUUUCAUCUUCAUUAAGAAUUACCACCUAAGAUUCCUUUUCGGUCUUACCUAAGCAUACGGAUACCCUUUUGUUCUCACUGCUUGGUACAAGUUCUACUCAAUAGGAUACCCUCUCAGUCUCACUUGUCUAGAUCUUCUACUAUAGGUGUCACUUCCUAGUAUAUUAAGUACUUUCGAAUAAAAACUCAAUUUUAGGUUACUAUUUAUUUAAUCAAUUAAUUAAUGAAAUAAUCAAGUCAUUCAAAAUAAGUAUGAAGCCCAAAAUACAUUCCAAUAUUUAUAUAAACAUUCAAUUAAUAAAACUAUCAAAUGCAAUAUAAAUGAAAGAAUAAAGGGACGAGAAUGCUCGUUAAUUAAUCAUUGAAAUGGCACUAUUUCAAAACAUCCUUUGCUCACGACCGACUAAUUUUGAGAGAAAAGCAUGUACUGGUCCAUUAAUUAAUUAGUUAGAGGCUAAGAGGUAAUAGCUGGUAAUUAAUAGCUACCUUGAUAAAACCUGAGUUCUGAAGUUAAUUAGGAACACUGAAAUGAUUUAAUCUUAUGCCUGCUUAAUUGAAUUUAAUUUCGAUUGUUAAAAUUGAUUGUCUUUAAUUUUUGUUAAUUUAUGUUAUUUUGAUUGAUUGCCUUUGAUUUUGUUUUUGGUAAUAUAAUAUUAGAUUACUACUAAUUAGCCUGAUUAGUGUAGAAUAUUAGUCUUGGUUCAAGUCAACCUCCCUUGGGUACGAUCGUAGGAAUAGAUCCCUAAGUGUUUCCUUGUAACAGUAUUCUAUAUUACAAUUUAACUCGUAUACUUGUUGGCACACUACAUUAUUAAUUGGCUCUUUAGCUGCGGUAUUUUCAACCCAGACGUUCGCACAGCUGGUCGCAGUCAUUUGGCCAAAUGUUGACAAUUGGACAUGAAGAGUUUAAGAUGUACACAUCAGUUGCAGGCUCCUUCGUGCGACCCAUGAAACUAGGGCAUGGGAACACCUAUAUCCAACAAACUCAUUGAAGUUAAUAAGACCUCCAUUGUUCGCACCGCUUUACUUAAAACUAUUUCUAUGUCACUUUUUCAAGAACGUAAGACAACUUAUAUGAAUUAGAGAAAAUAUUAAUAAGACCUUUGCUCAAAUUUUUAAAAAAAUAGUUGAAGUAUAUAUUUCCGGAAUUCAUGGCUUACAACAAUCAGGAAUGAAUUAACAUAUGAAAUGAUUAAUUCCUUUUUUUCACAUAAUUUUAUAGAAAAAAGGGAGAAGUUAAUGAUGUGCAGUUUCUAGUAGUGGUCAAUGAAAGAUGGGCGUUGUAUAGUGACUUCGACAUCGUUUUUGGUGUGAACAUCCUCUGUCAUAACCGUUUGAUGGUGGUGGGAGGCAAUUACCGCCUCCUAGUUUGCAUGGAACUUGAAGAUUUUUUCCCAGUCCCGGGUAGCUAAUUGGUGUCGCGUUUGCACCCUCUUCCAUCACCAUUGAGCUUAUUACCAAUGAACAAAUCCACAACACCAUGAUCUUCUUCUCCACUCCCAUUU
rnacentral:lncRNA from 1 species